AUUGAACGCUGGCGGCAGGCCUAACACAUGCAAGUCGAGCGAGCGGCGGACGGGUGAGUAAUGUCUGGGAAACUGCCUGAUGGAGGGGGAUAACUACUGGAAACGGUAGCUAAUACCGCAUACCAUCAGAUGUGCCCAGAGGGGAUUAGCUAGGAGGUGGGGUAACGGCUCACCUAGGCGACGAUCCCUAGCUGGUCUGAGAGGCUGACCAGCAACACUGGAACUGAGAAACGGUCCAGACUCCUACGGGAGGCAGCAGUGGGGAAUAUGGCACAAUGGGCGCAAGCCUGAUGCAGCCAGGCCGCGUGUGUGAAGAAGGCCUUCGGGUUGUAAAGCACUUUCAGCGGGGAGGCGUGACCCGCAGAAGAAGCACCGGCUAACUCCGUGCCAGCAGCCGCGGUAAUAC
rnacentral:rRNA from 1 species